ACUGAUCACAGCCAACAUCAACCCCCCCUCACUGUCCUUUUUUGCACCACUUUGAAUGAGGUUCAUCACCCCUGUGCUAGCUGCUACGUGCUGUCCAUGCACUGCUGCUGAGUGUCCAUGUUUGUGGAGCUGCUGGCACCAUAUGGGUUCUCCUUUAUCAUGUGUCGAUGAGCUCCACUGCAUCUGCCAUAUAUUCAUCGCCUUGGACUUGAUUCAGUGAAGUUCUUCCCCUCUGCCCUCAAGCUCUAGCCAAAGCUACUGCGUGUAUGUUGUAAAUCCUGUGUCCAUGACGGUGAUAGCUAUUCUCCUUUGCCAUCAGUUCGAAUUUCCCAUGUUCAUCACAGCCAACAUCCCAGUCUGGUGACCACGCUCACCCAACUGCUCACCUCACCGUGGCCAGGACAACUCAGCAAGGAUCUCGCCACCGCAGAUCGGCGCCGUUGGCAGCCUGACCGUCAACCCGCUUAACCGCAUCUUCUCCGGCUGACUUCGUGUGAGCACCGUGUGCCUGGAGGAACACCUAGAAGAAGUGGUGUUUGAAGGAGUCUACUCCAAUGGCUGCUGAUCAAGUGGAGGAGCCAUCUAACUGUGUAUUGGAUAGAGGGAUCUAGAGCCUCUUCACUGCAACAAAGG